rnacentral:lncRNA from 1 species
GUGUAUUCUAGGGGGAGGGAGAGUCUGGUCUACCAACAUGAAGAUUGUCACGAUCAUGGGCACGCACAAUCUACACCGGCCUGGUAGCCCAAAUCGUACGAAAAAAAACUGCUUUCUCUCCCAUUUGAUGUUUUUGACUCUUGUGGCACAUUCCCAGACCUGUAGCAGAAGUUGUAGGAGAGGGUUACUGGAGAAAGCAAGGCGUCUCCAAGUCUAUCGGUUUUUUCGCCGCUUUGCAAGAGGAGCGCGAGUUACAUGAUGCACUCUGUGUGUUUUAAGUGUUUGUAGCAGUUUUGUUGUAAGGCAACUUUUGCACAACAUUAAGUGUGAGAACAUCGGCCCACAUAGUAUGAGGGCUCUAUGUGAUGGUUUCUUUGUCGGCAGUGUAGGGAAAGCCCGACUUGACAGGUAAUGUGAUGUGCCAGUUAUUGAGACAUGGAAUAUUAAUGCAAGAAGAAAGUGCUAGAUGUGCCCAUGUUAGUGAAAUUAAGAUGCCCAAACUUGUGCCUUACCGUUACGGUGCUUCAGUGUUUGUCAUGUUUUUCCUCAUUCAGACUUUUUUUUUUUCACAUGCGAGGUAGUGAAAGUUGUAAAAGGAAGUCAUUCAUUGUGUUUCCAUGCCACAAUUGUAGUAGAGUGCAUUUUAGCGUUCCUUCCUAAAGACAGGAAGGGGGAGGGGGUGCAGUGCAUAGCACUUGUCUUUCCUUGAAGUCGUGAGAUUAACGGCAUCUUUUCCUUUUGGUAAUGGCUAACAUUGAAACUGGAGUAGGGUCACAGCUAGUAGUGGAAGCUAAUAAAAAUUUGGAGAUUUAAGAUUGCUGGAAAAGCAGGCCUGCUUAUUUCUGGGGCAAAGCACUGCUUGAAGACUGGAAGCUGAGCAUUGCACAGCCAUGACUCAGAGCAGCGAACAAGUAAACCUAAGGGAACCAAUUGUCAACUACUACUAGUGCGAAAAAAAUUUACAUAAAACAAGCAAAAUUUUUGUAUUAUGUAUGCUACCAAUUUCUGGUUUAAAGUGUAGUUGUUUAAUGAAGUCUUACAAUAGCUUCAGUAAUUUACUAAUUUAGCUUUGCACAAGGCCUGCUCUUCAUAUUGGAGGUUAGUGCAAAAAGAACAUAGAAACCUGCAAAGGCCAGUAUUUGACCCUAAGUAGCUUUAACAUUCUUUUUUCAACUUUGAAGGGGAAAAGUAGCCGGUGCUACACCUACCACAUACAUCUGCUGAUAAAAUAUUCACCUGCAGGUUCUCAUGCGAAGUUUAAGUUGCUGUGCGCACUUGAAUACUAAUGAAGUCUUGCACACAAGGAGCAGUGUUUACUCCUAUAUGAAGUUCAAGAUUAAAGUUACUUGUUAGAUUGUA